rnacentral:lncRNA from 1 species
CAGAAGCGCAGAAGGAAGGCUGUGAGGAGCAGUGGGCCGCCUCCUGCAGGGCUCCCGGAGCCCCUACUUGUCCAGGCUGCCUGGUGAGACCCUGGCUUCUGGUGUCCUUGGCAGGUGCCAGCCUCCCCCGCUGACCCCCAUCACGAGUCAGCAGCUUACCCCACCGACCACGUCCUUCUGCAUUGACUGCCUCCUGUCCUGCUCUGGCCAGGCCUGUGUUCACACUAGUUCUGUCCAGCCCCUCCCUGUGAGGCCAGCUC